UGGGGAAUAUUGCACAAUGGGCGCAAGCCUGAUGCAGCCAUGCCGCGUGUGUGAAGAAGGCCUUCGGGUUGUAAAGCACUUUCAGCGGGGAGGAAGGCGAUAAGGUUAAUAACCUCAUCGAUUGACGUUACCCGCAGAAGAAGCACCGGCUAACUCCGUGCCAGCAGCCGCGGUAAUACGGAGGGUGCAAGCGUUAAUCGGAAUUACUGGGCGUAAAGCGCACGCAGGCGGUCUGUCAAGUCGGAUGUGAAAUCCCCGGGCUCAACCUGGGAACUGCAUUCGAAACUGGCAGGCUAGAGUCUUGUAGAGGGGGGUAGAAUUCCAGGUGUAGCGGUGAAAUGCGUAGGGAUCUGGAGGAAUACCGGUGGCGAAGGCGGCCCCCUGGACAAAGACUGACGCUCAGGUGCGAAAGCGUGGGGAGCAAACAGG
rnacentral:rRNA from 1 species